AGAUGAAUGGUGGUGGAGGUUGUACUACUGAUUUGAGCUAUGUAAAGGACGAUGGUCAGAUGAAUGAUGGUGAAGGUUGUACUGAUGAUCUGAGCUCUUGAAAGGACAACAGUUACAUGAAUGAUAAUGAAGGUUGUACUACUGAUCUGAGCUCUGGAAAGGACGAUGGUCAGAUGAAUGAUGAUGAAGGUGGUUCUGCUCAUCUAAGCAGUGUUUCAAUUUAAUAAUUGUUUUAUCUUAAUUUUGUUUUGUUUUUUAAUAAUAUUUUGUUUUUUUAAUAAAUAUUGUAUUUU
rnacentral:lncRNA from 1 species